CAAGGCGUGCCAAAUUUCAUUAACCGCGCCAGUUCCUAUCGCCGUGUCGCAGCAGCACUUUCAGCUCCAGCUACAGCUGCUCAGUUUGCCACAGGUGGGCGGCAGACAAUAUUUAAUGAAAGUAAUCAAUUAUAAAGAGCAGCAGACAUGGCGCACGCCCACGCACAUGCCUAGAUACGCCAUUUAAUGCUCAAUGACUUUGCACGCUCGAUAAAUUUCACACAUACUACACACACACACAGACACACACACUCGAAUACACCGCUUGUAAGCAUCAAAAAAGGCAACUGUCUGUCGCUGGCUGGGAGAGCGGAAGCACGUUCAUUUAGGUGCACUGCCCCAUGCGCCCACAUUAUGUUGCAGCAGCCACAGCCAAAAACAAAGCUCAUUUAUUUCUGAAGCUUAAAAACACAGCGUCGAACCUUAGCGAAAAAGGAAAUAUAUAAACAACUAAGUUGAAUGAAAAGUUUACUGGGAGCUGCCGAAGUUCAAAUACCCUUACAAAUACCCAUCAUCAAAUUCUCUUGCUAAAUGGUUGUAUGAAAAUAUAUACAUAUAUAUUUAACAAAUA